UCCCCCUUAGCUCAGUUGGUAGAGCGAGAGACUGUUAAUCUCCAGGUCCUAGGUUCGAGUCCUAGAGGGGGAGCCA
rnacentral:tRNA from 3 species